rnacentral:tRNA from 4 species
GGGCGAAUGGUUUAGUGGUAUAAUACUCCCUUAGCAUGUUUCGUCUGAAUAUCUGGGAGUGGUCCAGGGUUCGAUUCCCUGUUCGUCCA